rnacentral:rRNA from 1 species
AGCUCCAAUAGCGUAUAUUAAAAUUGCUGCAGUUAAAAAGCUCGUAGUUGGAUUUCUGGUGUGGUGCGCCGGGCCCGCCGCCGUUAGGCGGUGAGUGUCUGUUGUGCGCCUACCAUCCUUCUGGAGAGCGCAUUCUACCCUUAACUGGGCCGGAGUGUGCGAUCUGGAUCGUUUACUUUGAAAAAAUUAGAGUGUUUAAAGCAGGCGUAUGCUAUGAAUACAUUAGCAUGGAAUAAUAAGAUAGGGCUUUGGUUCUAUUUUGUUGGUUUCUAGGACCGAAGUAAUGAUUGAUAGGGACAGUUGGGGGUGCUAGUAUUUAACGGCCAGAGGUGAAAUUCUUGGAUUCGUUAAAGACUAACUUAUGCGAAAGCAUUCACCAAGGAUGUCUUCU